GAUUGCAACUCUCAUAACUUUGUUUUCUCAGCCUUUAGGUUGUACUUAUCUGGAACCCAGGCACCUAGAGCAUUUCACUCUUUUCUUCCUUUAAAACAGAACAGUCUAUCAACCCCAAUCUGUCUUCCCACAUUGUCCUCUCAUGAGGUAGUGUGCCAGGGGUCAGUUCUCAUUACAAUGUUGUCAUGUAGGGUAGAAGGUUUGAUCUUACCCUUACUUCCCUGGUCUGGACAAUUUAAAGCAUUACCACUUAUAUCUGCCCCACAUUCCAGAACAGUCCCAGCCCCAAAGGCAUGACCCAGUGUGAGAUUGUGCAACCAGCAACAAAAGGUCAGUGUUUGUAAAUGGAUCCAAGGAUAUUCCGAUUUAUCUUCUACUGUCACUCCUAGGCAUUCCUGUAGGAUUUUUUAAGAGGAAGAGGAAGGGAUAUAAUCCUAUCAAGUAUUGCCAUGAUGUCCAGCGCAGGAAACCUACGCCAUAGUCUAGGGGACUGUGAAUAAAGUUUCACACUGGUCUGUCAUUAGAAAGUACCCAUCAUAUUUCUUUGGGUGGUAAAACCUGUCUGAUCUUCAAAGAACCAAGAUUCACUAUAUAAUACUUAGUAGAAAACUAUUACUUAAUUUACUAGACAGAUGAUACAUUUUACAUUGGAAAUUUAUUCGGGACAGGGCAUGCUAUUUGCUAUAAUAUCUGAGCUCUAUCUCCAUGCCUUAAUUUUGUAUAGAUUGUGAUAAUCUAGCUAAAGAAGGUUCAUAAAAUUGCUUAUAAAUCUAAACAGAAAACUUUGAAGAAAAUAUUUUCAGGCCAGUCAGUUCUACCAAAUCAGUCCUUGGUGAUCAAUAGUGCCACAGUCAAACUGCUCUCAUGUCCAAAAUAUCUUCUCGGAAGAGAGCAACUUUGCCACAAGAACUCUUACUCUUCGUGCCAUGGUAUCAUUGCUAAACGACAUCUCCCAGUUUGUAGGGAUCUCAAAUAAGGCCAUCUUUCAGAUCAGUUGAUGUCAGUUGAUAUCAAAA